GGCGACAUAGCCAAGUGGUAAGGCGUGGGUCUGCAACACCCUGAUCACCAGUUCGAAUCUGGUUGUCGCCU
rnacentral:tRNA from 17 species